rnacentral:rRNA from 1 species
GUGGGGUAACGGCCUACCAAGGCGACGACGGGUAGCUGGUCUGAGAGGACGACCAGCCACACUGGGACUGAGACACGGUCCAGACUCCUACGGGAGGCAGCAGUGGGGAAUCUUGCGCAAUGGGCGAAAGCCUGACGCAGCGACACCGCGUGGGGGAUGAAGGCCUUUCAGGUCGUAAACCCCUUUCGGCAGGGACGAAGCGAUCUCGUGACGGUACCUGCAGAAGAAGCCUCGGCUAACUACGUGCCAGCAGCCGCGGUAACACGUAGGAGGCGAGCGUUGUCCGGAAUCAUUGGGCGUAAAGAGCGCGCAGGCGGCUUGGGAAGUCGGGUGUGAAAUCCCGGGGCUCAACCCCGUGACUGCAUCCGAUACUGUCAGGCUAGAGGUAGGUAGGGGAGAUCGGAAUUCCUGGUGUAGCGGUGAAAUGCGCAGAUAUCAGGAGGAACACCGGUGGCGAAGGCGGAUCUCUGGGCCUUACCUGACGCUCAGGCGCGAAAGCUAGGGGAGCGAACAGGAUUAGAUACCCUGGUAGUCCUAGCCGUAAACGUUGGGUGCUAGGUGUGGGCGGAUAUCAACCCCGUCCGUGCCGAAGCUAACGCAUUAAGCA